UUAUGCAAAAUAUUGGAUCGCCGGUUAAUAUGCUCAUCGGCCAGAGACAUGGCUGCCGGCUGCGGGCCGCGACAGCCGCCAUCCCCGCCGUCACGUAUCCCACGCCACCUUCCUUCAGAGAACGCGCCCGUCCACGGCGCCGUUGCCGGCACCAUAGUCCUCCCACGCGCGCCGCUGUCUCGUAGGCUCCGAGCCGCCGCUUUUCGAGUUUCAACUAGAGCCACCACCCUCUCUCGCCUUGAUGAUGCCACCAUGGACGAGAAUUAGAAAGCAAUGGGGAGGCGACCUGCGCGUGCCCAUCACCAUGGCGGCAAGGUCUUCUGAUCUCGCUGAAAACAGAGUUUCUCGACGAGCGCUUCGCCACUGGUCUCGCGGGCCGCCGCCCGCCGGACUGCCGGAGGAGUUGGGCGAGCUGACGAGGAUGGCCGGCGCCGAGGACGUCAGGCGUCAGCCAAGAUGCCGGCAGAACAGAAUCACCCUCCCUAGCACGCCGCAAGGGGCACCAACGUACACACGCAGGGUCUGAGAAGAAGGGUCUUCACUCUUCACCUUCAACCCGGCAAUCUGUAUGUUAUACUGUUAUAUGGCAUGACGCAGCUUCUGUAUUCACUCCCAAAGCUCAGGGACAUGAGCUUCAGAUCAGCUCAUCCCUUCAGCUACUUCGUGCGGCUGUCCAGGCCUGUCAGUCGCAGAAACUUGCAUGCAAUACAUUUUGCUACAACUAGUAUUCUUGUUAGUAUGGCUGUAUGCCUGUAUUGGUCAAUAACGUCAGAUGUAGUUGCAGCAGAGCCAUUGCAGAUUCAUAUAGUUUGCAAUUACUGUAUUGAAAUGGAAAUUAGGCCUUUGUAGCAAGGCCCAGUAUUUGACAGAACAACAUGGUGAUUAGGAUUGGGGCCAACUUGGAACAAUAUAUCUGUAUGUGCCACAUAUACAUAAUGUAUCAGCGUCUGAUGUAUAAAACUGAAUGUUAUGUUUCA